GAUCACCUUCGAGGUCUGAGGGUGAGGCGGGGCCGCCCCUUGGCGCCAACUCCCCCGGGGGGAGUAGGAGCUAUGUCCCGUCCGAACUCCUAUCAGCUGCCUGACAGUGGCUUUGGGGAACCCUGCAUCUACUAGGAGUACCAGUGGUUUGGCAAGAAUACUGUGCACAUGGUCAGCUCCCUGAGGGGUGUGAUCCCUGAGGACCAUGAGAAGGAGGCAGAAAUAUCUCAGUGUCACCAGGACAAGAACAGAUUCACAGACUGUUUUGAAAUAGGAGUACACAGCUGAGCACAAGGUGCUGGAACUCUCCAAAUUUGACUCAGGAUGCAGAAACACUGCCUUAAUGUGAACAAGAAAGUUCCUCAGGAGGUGAAUAGGAAUUGAAUUCUUCAAAUUCUUGUGGAUGUGCUCACAGGAAUGACGUAUGUUUGAAACUCAUAAUUAGAUAAAAUUGAGAGACUUGGGAUGAGUUUGAAAAAAUACAUUUGUCUCAUAGAAACAACGUUUCAUUAAUGUUUGAUUGGAAUUCUUGAAGUUGAUAAUGUUUGAAGAGGUGAGUGAUAGACCUGGAUCAAAGUAAAUAUUAUAAUUUAAGACAUUACACAGUCUACCUUUUUAAAUUGAAAGAUUUAUCCCUCUCUUUG